AAACUAAGAAAACCAAGUGUUUGAGUAAAUACUCUCAAAAUAUAUUCAAUAACUUUUUUUUGAUCAAGUAUAUUCAAUAACUUUGAAUGGAAUACAAUGGGAUGAUUACAAAUGAGGGGGAAACCCUCUAUUUAUAGUUGAGCUCCCCCAUAUCCAAUGGUGCAGAUUGAAUUACAUCAACGAUUGAGAUUAGUGUCUGUCUACAAGAUGAAAGUCCUAAGGGAUUUAAACUCUAUACAUCUUUAUCCCUUAGGAUUUACAAUAAUUGCCUUGGUAACUCUAGUUUUACUAGAGUGUUUCACUGGCCAGUUUCAAGUGGAUCAAAUGAGCCCCAUUUAAUCAAUUGACCUUCAUGAGAAGCUCUGUGUGCAUUCGUCACGGGCUUUGAUCCGCGGCCCGUGACAUAAGAAUAAACUCAUAAUUAAUUAAAUAAUAAUUUCUAAUCUUGUGGUGAUUAAUAUUAAGUUUCAAUCAUAUUUAUUGUUGACACAUUUAUAAAAUUUUAUAAAAAAAUUUUAAUUAGUGUAUAUUUUUUAUAAGAAAAAAAGAGAAGGGUUCAAAUUGACAAAAGUUGUAAAGGUUGAGUGGCUAAAUUAGUGAUUGUACCUAAUUUUUUAACAAAGUUAAUGAAAAAAAAUUAAUGAAGGGACUGGAAAUGAGCAAAUAAAAAAAAUAGAGAGACUAAUUUUGAGCAAAUAAAAGUAGAGGGAUUAAAUCCGCACAAAUUGAUAAGUACAUAGACUAUCAUCAAAAUUUAACCUAUAGUCUAAUAUGGUUCAAAAUUUAAUUAAGUGAUAAUAAUUGUAACACUAAUAAUAAAAAGUUAUUAAUAAAUUUAAUUUAUAUUUUAUAUAAAAAGUUAAAAAUAAUUAUAAUUAUUUUAUUUUAUAUUAAUAUUUUUAUCAUAUUUAUUUAAAAGAAACAUGAGAGUAAAAAGGUACCUACACGAUCAAAUUAAUUGUUGUUAUUUCUUGUAAUAAUUAAUGGUAUGCGUAAUACCUAUAUAUAAUUUAUCUAAGACGAUUUUAUUAUUUUUAAUUUAUUUAAUUAUAUUCAAUGAAUUAAUAAUUAAUUAAUAUUACCUUUGUUAUUAUUCCAAUAAUAUAUUAAUAAAUUGUUAUUAUAUCAAUUUAAUAAUAUAAUAAAUGAUAAAAAAUAUUAUCAUUAAUUCAAACUUUCUUCUCAACUCAUCUUUUUACGUAAGUUAUAAGGUUAAUAUUAAUUGGUAAUUAGGAUUUGGGGUUUAAAGUAAUAUUUUUUAAUCAAAAUUAAAUCAAAUCAAAUCAUUGCAAAACCUAAGGAAGAAAGAAUCACAUAAAAUUCAUACAUAAUAUACACAUAAUUACAAUAAAAGCUAAACAAGAAACGAAUACGAUACUCUUACCCAAUAAUGCAAAACCUUCAUUGGCUUCUGGUUCCCUAGAAUUUGUUUAGUGUUUAUGAAUGUAUGAUGUUAUUCAAGAAAUCAUUAAAAAAAAGGAGUGAAGUGACAGUUGUAAUCUGUGCUUAGAGAUCAAAAUGUAUUGGUCCCUUUGCCUUGUUGGGUGGUGGGACCAUGCUUCAAGUAUCAACACUUUCAACUAAUUGAUACGAGCUCAAUUGUUGUUGCUUCGAGUCGUAUUAGUUUGUCCAAUCAUGAAUUUGGGGUAAAACUUGGUUCGUUUCAUGAGGGAUGGAAAAAAUAGAAGGUAGGCUUCAAAUAAGGUUUAAAAGGAAGCUGGUUAAACAAAGGAAUGGAUAAUUUGGCCAAACCCAGAGAAUGAACCAAAAAUAGAGUGAUUGUUGGCCUGAGUCUCAAAGUAGCUCUUUGGUGAAUUUCGAUUUAGAAAAUCAACAAAGAACCUUGACUCGUUAUUAAAUGUGAUAGGAACCAAAGGUAUAUGAACGCCACACUAGAAAUGAUAAGUUCGGGUUAACAAAGGAAAGAAUGACGCCACAAGACAACUUGAUAAGUCAAUUCAGUCCCGAAAAAAACAAGGAGAAUUGGAAAUCUCACAAGUUUCAAUUGAUUCAUAAAAUUGGUAAAAAGUCCCUACAACAAGAAAUUAGCUAAGUAUUUAUAGCUAGAAAUCUAUGCUAGCCGAAUAGACACAUGGGCAACUAAAUGGACAAAUGUUUUCAGCUUUAAUGAGCUGAAACUUCUUGGAAAGUUCCUAGCAGCUUCCUUGAAGUUUCCUUGAGCAUGGAGGACGUCAAUAGUUAGCUUCUAGAUGCCUUGAUUCAGCUGAAAAUUAAUGAAGUGAUUGAGAGCUGAAUUGACUUAAUUAGGUUCGGCCCAAGGGUAUGAACCAUC
rnacentral:lncRNA from 1 species